GACGAACGCUGGCGGCGUGCCUAAUACAUGCAAGUUGAGCGCUGAAGGUUGGUACUUGUACCAACUGGAUGAGCAGCGAACGGGUGAGUAACGCGUGGGGAAUCUGCCUUUGAGCGGGGGACAACAUUUGGAAACGAAUGCUAAUACCGCAUAAAAACUUUAAACACAAGUUUUAAGUUUGAAAGAUGCAAUUGCAUCACUCAAAGAUGAUCCCGCGUUGUAUUAGCUAGUUGGUGAGGUAAAGGCUCACCAAGGCGAUGAUACAUAGCCGACCUGAGAGGGGGAUCGGCACCAUUGGGACUGAGACACGGCCCAAACUCCUACGGGAGGCAGCAGUAGGGAAUCUUCGGCAAUGGACGAAAGUCUGACCGAGCAACGCCGCGUGAGUGAAGAAGGUUUUCGGAUCGUAAAACUCUGUUGGUAGAGAAGAACGUUGGUGAGAGUGGAAAGCUCAUCAAGUGACGGUAACUACCCAGAAAGGGACGGCUAACUACG
rnacentral:rRNA from 1 species